rnacentral:rRNA from 1 species
GAUGGCGGUUAUAUCCGCGGGCGCUGCGGAUGGUCAGUACCUGGAUGGGAGACCUCCUGGGAAAAACUAGGCUGCUGUUG